CUACGGGAGGCAGCAGUGAGGAAUAUUGCACAGUGGGGGGAACCCUGAUGCAGCAACGACGCGUGGAGGAUGACGCAUUUCGGUGUGUAAACUCCUUUUAUAUGUCAAGAAAAUGACGGUAGCAUAUGAAUAAGCACCGGCUAACUCCGUGCCAGCAGCCGCGGUAAUACGGAGGGUGCAAGCGUUACUCGGAAUCACUGGGCGUAAAGGACGCGUAGGCGGGUUGGAAAGUCAGGUGUGAAAUCCUACAGCUUAACUGUAGAACUGCACUUGAAACUUCUAAUCUAGAGUAUGGGAGGGGGAGAUGGAAUUAGUGGUGUAGGGGUAAAAUCCGUAGAUAUCACUAGGAAUACCUAAAGCGAAGGCGAUCUCCUGGAACAUUACUGACGCUAAGGCGUGAAAGCGUGGGGAGCAAACAGGAUUAGAUACCCGCGUAGUC
rnacentral:rRNA from 1 species